AGAUAAGGCUAAUGAACAGAUAGUCAGACCUAUAUCCUUUCUAAAACACUUUGUUGUUGAUAUGGUAUAAAAUCCUGAGCAUUUCCUGUAUCUGUAUCUUACUUUGAAUGCUUCUGAAUACUGAUUCUAACAACACUUUGUAGCAAGGAGUUUCAUAAGGGAAUGUGUAGGAUGUAGCUUUUCUCAUGAUCAGCUUUCAAUUUUCCAUUUUUAGAUUUCAAGUCUUGUUUGUGAAGAAGAUUUUCUUCCCUUUACAGCAAAUUUGGACACUGCUGAACCUCUGUCCUCGUUGUGGUUGGCUGAGCCUGUGAAGGGUGAAAGAGUUUCACCCUGGCAGUGCCAGUGAUGAAUUUUACAAGGAAAAAUCACCUGUUCUGCAGUUUCUACUUCACCUCCUUUCCAUUAAAAGCUUUGCAGGCUCCUGCUCAGUAAUGCACGGGGGCUCUCUGCCCAAGGCCAUGAUUGGAGACAAAUGCCUAUUUCCUAUCCAGUGAUCCUAAGACAACCUACAGUAGCAGGUACAGCUGUGAGAACCUUAUAGGGUGAUCAGAAUCCUGAAGUAGAAGAUUUAAUGAAUUGAAGAUUUUUAAGAAACUGUUUUCCUCUAGAAAGACAAUUUUCAUUGAAUACCUUAUUCUAGCUCUACCCACCAGGUAAGUAGCAUAACAGAGAGAAGCUGUUCUUGGCAAGGAAAACAAAAAAACCAAAAAAACCAAACCAAAACAAAACAAAAAAAAACCAAAAACCAAAAAAAAAAAAAAAAGAAAGAUGAAAUCUCCUAGCUGUCUCAUCAUAAUUACUUCCCCAGAAAAUAGAAAUAGACUACAGUAUAUAGAGUCUGCUUUCAGUUUUCUUUCUUAAAGAUACACAUAUUCUGCUGUAGUAGUUAUCCAGCUUUUAGGAAUUGUUUCGCUAAGAGGGAAACAUUGUGUUUGGAACAGAAUUUACCUUGUAUGAAAUUUAUCUUAGGACUUUCUGUGUUGCAGCUGUAUUAAAAAAUUGCUUAGAGUAUGCCUGAGUUUCAGGAUUAGAAAAAUGCCAAUAAAAUAUUUAUUUUCAUGACUAAAUUAAAAAAUUUAAGAUUGGUUUAUAACUGAAGGAGAAACUCUACCAUGAAUGAGGGGUGGAGCUUCAAUUUAAGAACAGAAAUUUGAGAUAUUUCAAAAUAAAAUCUGAUUUCCCUGAUUCAGAGGAAACCAUCCAAUAAAAACGCAUUUACUUUAGCUCAUGUGUACUAGAUUACUCCAAAUGAGUAAUCCAGAUGUCCUUUUGAGCUAGCAAUGUCAGUAGCACUGACAAUAUCUCAAUCAACUUCAGGGUCACACUGUCACAGCUUCAAAUUUUGCACAAAAGAGUAUGGAGUGAAAAAGCAAAUGAAAACGUAAGAAACCAGGAAUGCUUUUUUUUUUUUUUUACAUUCUCAUGGAUUUGUACAGUUUUGGGUAACUAUUCUAAAAUUAUCAGGCAAAAUCAUUAGCAUUGCUUUGCCUUUCAAGUAAUUGCAAAGUCUAUCAUCAAGCACAUAUACGGAGUUUAGUCUGAAUAUAGUGAAUAACAUAACCUUAUGUAAUUUCUGAUUCUGUGAACACUCACUGCAUGGAAUGACUUGUCUAGUUUUUGGGUUUAAAGGGAGAUAGCCUACCAAACUAAAUAGAUCAUACUCUCCAGACCACAUUAAAAGUGUCAUUCAUAAA